rnacentral:rRNA from 1 species
AUUGAACGCUGGCGGCAGGCCUAACACAUGCAAGUCGAGCGAGCGGCGGACGGGUGAGUAAUGUAUGGGGACUGCCCGAUAGAGGUGGAUAACUACUGGAAACGGUAGCUAAUACCGCAUACUAUCGGAUACACUAUUCGGUAUUAGCUAGUAGGUGAGGUAAUGGCUAACCAAGGCAACGAUCCCUAGAUGGUCUGAGAGGAUGAUCAGCCACACUGGGACUGAGACACGGCCCAGACUCCUACGGAGGCAGCAGUGGGGAAUAUUGCACAAUGGGCGCAAGCCUGAUGCAGCCAUGCCGCGUGUAUGAAGAAGGCCCUAGGGUUGUAAAGUACUUGCAGUCGGGAGGCGUUACCGACAGAGGAAGCACCGGCUAACUCCGUGCCAGCAGCCGCGGUAAUUC